GGGAAAGUGGCUCAGUGGUAGAGUGCUUGUCUUGCAUGCAUGAGGCCCUGGGUUCGAUUCCUCAGCACCA
rfam:Dipodomys ordii contig_38722, whole genome shotgun sequence.